UUGAUAUGCGAAAGAGAAGUCAGAUAUGAGAUCCAAACCCUGAAUUGGGAUUGUGAUCAAGAGAUGAGAAUAAUAAUAUUAUAUUAUUGUUAUAAUGAUUUUACAGUACAAUAAUUAUGUACUGUGUAUGUGCGGACAGAUAAUAUUGAGCAAUGACGGUCAAUUAGGUCAUAGCACAGUACUGUGCUGUGAAACCCUAAUUAUUAAACUCAGUUAUGAGAAAUGACUGAGUAGUGACUGUGUAUAUGAAGUUUACUGUGUAUAAGAAUGUCGGUAAUUAGAAGGAAACCCUAAUUACUGUUGUACGUUGAUAAUUAGGACAAACCCUAAUUAUUAUAACCCUAAUCGGUUGAAGUUAGAGACUGUAACGACUGUGUUAGAACACACAUAGAUAAUUAGAGAACCCUAAUGGUCAAUUAGAAACCCUAAUUAAUGGCGUUAAGAAACCCUAAUUUAAGAACCCUAAUUUUUCAAUCAAAAACCCUAAUUUAAAAUUAUUGGGUUUAAUUAUGAUGUUAAUGUAUAAAUAUUUUAAUUUACCAAAGGAUGCAAAGUAAUUGGUAAAUGAUAAGAAUUACCAUCUAGUGAUUAAAUACUACAUUUAAUUGCUAUGUACAAAAAUGCCCAUGAAAUUUUAUGUGAAAUUACCAAAAUACCCUUUUAGUGUAUUAUUAGUUAUAUUAUUUAUGGAAUUUUAAAAUCUAAAGUGAUAAACCCUAAGGGUUGUGGCCAAUGUCUAAAAUGCCCUUCAUGGUAGACAUGAGAAGUCUAAACUACCCUUGUGCAUUAUUAAAGGAAGAAACCAAUUAUUAGAGUGGAAAUGACUAUUUUACCCUUUUUGGCUUAUUAGUGUAUUAUU
rnacentral:lncRNA from 1 species